rnacentral:rRNA from 1 species
ACUCCUACGGGAGGCAGCAGUAGGGAAUCUUCCACAAUGGGCGAAAGCCUGAUGGAGCAACGCCGCGUGGGUGAAGAAGGUCUUCGGAUCGUAAAACCCUGUUGUUAGAGAAGAAAGUGCGUGAGAGUAACUGUUCACGUUUCGACGGUAUCUAACCAGAAAGCCACGGCUAACUACGUGCCAGCAGCCGCGGUAAUACGUAGGUGGCAAGCGUUAUCCGGAUUUAUUGGGGCGUAAAGGGAACGCAGGCGGUCUUUUAAGUCUGAUGUGAAAGCCUUCGGCUUAACCGGAGUAGUGCAUUGGAAACUGGGAGACUUGAGUGCAGAAGAGGAGAGUGGAACUCCAUGUGUAGCGGUGAAAUGCGUAGAUAUAUGGAAGAACACCAGUGGCGAAAGCGGCUCUCUGGUCUGUAACUGACGCUGAGGUUCGAAAGCGUGGGUAGCAAACAGGAUUAGAUACCCUGGUAGGAUAG